rnacentral:rRNA from 1 species
UACGGGGGGGGCAAGCGUUGUUCGGAAUUACUGGGCGUAAAGGGCUCGUAGGUGGCCAACUAAGUCAGACGUGAAAUCCCUCGGCUUAACCGGGGAACUGCGUCUGAUACUGGAUGGCUUGAGUUUGGGAGAGGGACGCGGAAUUCCAGGUGUAGCGGUGAAAUGCGUAGAUAUCUGGAGGAACACCGGUGGCGAAGGCGGCAUCCUGGACCGGCAUUGACGCUGAGGAGCGAAAGCCAGGGGAGCAAACGGG